GCACUCGGAGCUUUUGUUCCCUGAGCGCUUUCCGUACCGCUUGGGAGGACGGGAAUGAAGAUGGCGGCCGCGCAGUCUCAGCGGAGGAGCUGAGAGCUCAGGGCCACACUCCAGUGCACACUCAGAGAAAAGCCGUCAGUCCCUCCUGUGCCCUGGUCUCCCGCCACGCUCGGAGCUCACCUGGCCUGUGACGGAACGUUCCUGUCUCCGGCGCGUGGCCCAUUGGCAGUCUGCAAACCUGGUAGCCUCCUGCCCUGCGCUCCUGCGCCGCUUCUCCUGGAGAAGGAAGGCCGGUUCGCCCCGGAUCUGCAACUUGCCUGAGGAGCAGGGGCUCGACUCUGCCUCAGAUCACGAUUUAAGAUGGGAAGCAUCGAGUGUGUUCCUGUACAGACAAAGUCCAGCCAUGGAGAGUAAGCUCUUCGGAGGUGUGACAGGAUUCAUGGAGCAAGAGCAAGCUGGAGAAGAGAAGGCAGAAGAGGCACUUACCGGAGUCACUGAGGAGAGAACAGUUUUCACUCAACGGAGGUGGGAUGUCUCUUCACUUCAUUCACUGAGGACAAAGGAGAAACGUAAUUAACGCGCACACCAGUAAUUCCAGUAUCUGAGAGCAGAGCAAGUGUGGGGUGACAUGGCCCAGGGGAAUAAUUACGGGCAGACCAGCAACGGGGUGGCGGACGAAUCGCCCAACAUGUUGGUGUACAGAAAGGUAAGAAUUUCUUCACUUUCUUGGAGAGAGGGAAACUUUCGGCUUCCUUGAUUCUCCCCCUCCCCCCACUCCCGGGGUAGAGUGUGUAUCAGUUUUGUCACCUGGUGGAGUUCCCAAAUUGCCAAGUACUGCACAGCAUACUCGGAUGUUCUCACUGUGCAGAGACACAAUGAACUAAAUGAGGCCGGCCAUCCUCUGCGCGCUCCUUUGUCUGCUGAUUUCCUGUAGGUUAACCUACAGCCAGAAUUAUCAGGAAGUUUGGGCAUCCCACAUAUUUUCUGAUACAUGUGCUUUCAUACAUAUGCAUAAUAAUUAUGCAUAAUAGUUUUCAGAAGUGCUUUCUUUGAUGUACUCCCCCUCAGCCUUUGGGUUGUAAG
rnacentral:lncRNA from 1 species